UUUUUUUUUCUAUUCCUAUAGUUGACACCUGUAUUCUCACCAAUUCCCUUUUUACUCACAGAGAAAGAAAACCUAAGAUAGAGAGAACCGGAGGGUUAGAGAGAGACGGAUGUCCUGUCACGCUUCCGGCCAGUCACUAAGAUAUCCGGCGAGUUACCCCUGGCCGCCUUCUACCCCUCCAUUUAUACCCAAGCAUGUGCGAAUUAUCCUUCUCCCCUGUGUUCAUAGACUCGCACCCCUACAACCCCAGAAUCAUCUUCAUUGUAGAAUCUUACUGGUUUGAGCAAGUUCCAAUUAGCCUUAACACGGAGAUCUGGAGGUUGCAAAUCGGUCUCCGACAAGGUUGAAACCACCUAUUGGUGACGCAUGGGUCGUCUCCGGGCAGUCCAGCGACGCUAGGUAUAGGUUAUCGACAAUGUUGUAAGUAAGAACUAGUUACUUUAUCUUUGGUAUGAUAGGGUUUAUUUAAACAGGCAGGCCUUAACAAUUAGGGCUCCAAUUUUUAAUAUUUUCAAUUUUGAUUCUUGCAAUUUUGUUUGCUUGUCAUCGGUAGUGUUCAACUUGGUACCAAAUUGUUAUGAUUCUUGGGUUUUCCACAGGUGCUAAUUACCUAAAUUAAUUUGUUUAUGUUCUUAUGGUUAGUCAUGGAAGAACUUAAUAUAAUUUGUUAACAAAGUUGUUGAUUUGGGGGAGAAUAGUCAUUUAUCGAGUAAAGUUGAAGGGCAAAAUUAGUUGGAUAUAGAUAUUGAUGAUGCUGAUAAUAAACAAGUCGAGUGGUCCAUUUGAACAAUGUUUCACGGAUCGUGGAUGAAUACCAGGCACAAAUCUAAGAUAUGCUUAAGCUUAGCUCAAAAGCUUUGGUAUACUCAUAUUAAAAUAAUCUUCAUGAAAUUUUGAGGGGGAAACUCAGUUUACGACAAAAUCAUUAAUGAAGAAACAACAAUUACAUUUACAUGUUAUGGCAUGGCUAAAGUGGAAAGAAUGAGUAGUCCGAUGGCCGAAUAUGAGUGUUGUGUCUAAAUGUGCUUCUUAAUUUGGAUUAAGCAUUAAAUUGUUACUAAUUAUUAAAGGUUUAAUUUAUGACGGAUGAUUUCAGUGUAGAUUGAUUGUUGCAGAAAAGAAAAAGAACUGGUGAGGCAAUUGCUCACUGAAAAAUCCGAGAUACGGAGGAUGAUUGAUUUCAUCUAUAGACAACAAGAGGAGGUUAUCGACCAACCGGAGAAAUUCAAAUCACAUCCUUACCUGCUCAACUCCAUAAGUUCAACCGAAGAAAACAUAGCGGUAGCAAUGGAGACUGUUUCAGUUUCGGUGUGCAUUCUUCACAUCCCAAAUCUCAAGCCGCUUAGUUAUUGGUAAGAAGAUCACCACUUGAUUCCAUGUCACCAAGGAAGCGAUUAGCUUAUAGUCUCUUACUACACAGUUUGAAGAUGGACCAUUGGAGGGUACAAAGUAGAUAGAAGAACAUGUUCAGUUCAAGAAGGGUUGUUAUUAUCAAGGGAUGAUGAUCCGAACAAGCUUUAUAAAAGUAUGUAGAAGGUCAAUGGCAUUUGUCUUGUCAAAGUUUUUACAUGGCUAAUGUUUAGUGUUAAUUAACCUUCCCCGGGAUUCUUUCUAGAGUUUGUAUACAUUACGCCUGAAUUUGGAAGCCCCCGGCCGCAACGCGGCGGGGAGUUCCAUCUAGUUUAUAUUAUUAUAUAUAUCAAAUUAUAAAAUGCUAUUGCGCCAGGGAACUUUGUGGGUUUUCACUAUGACCACAGUUGUUUUGAGAUAUUAUGUUUUCGGCACUGCACACGUGUUAACUUUUGCUUUUUUACUCACUCACAUGGUAUGUUGUGAGAUAAAGGGGGGACCGAGAUAGAGAAACAGAUCUGGAAGUAGCUAGGAAGAGGAGAGAAAAAGAGAAACUGGCAGAGCUUCCGGUGACUACUCCGGCUCGUGGAUCAUCCAUAUCCACUAAAUCAAGAACAUCAUCCAUAUCCACUAAAUCAAGAACAUUGAUCAAAGUGUGAAGUUUGCUUCAACGUUCUAAACGAAGCUUCAGGCGCGACGGCUAGGGUUACCUGUCGCGAAGGGAGACGACAAAGGCGAUCGUGAGGAUGGUUUGUUUGUAUGUUCUUUUCGAUGAUUUCCCAUGAUUAUCUUAUUCGUAACCCUAAUUUAUAGUCGAAGCAUCCACGUAGGGAA